rnacentral:rRNA from 1 species
UACGUAGGGUGCGAGCGUUAAUCGGAAUUACUGGGCGUAAAGCGUGCGCAGGCGGUUCUCCAAGUCCGUUGUGAAAGCCCCGGGCUCAACCUGGGAAUGGCAGUGGAAACUAGGGGACUUGAAUCUGGCAGAGGGGGGUGGAAUUCCACGUGUAGCAGUGAAGUGCGUAGAGAUGUGGAGGAACACCGAUGGCGAAGGCAGCCCCCUGGGCUGAGAUUGACGCUCAGGCACGAAAGCGUGGGGAGCAAACAGG